rnacentral:rRNA from 1 species
AGAGUUUGAUCCUGGCUCAGGACGAACGCUGGCGGCGUGCUUAACACAUGCAAGUCGAACGAAGAGCGAUGGAAGCUUGCUUCUAUCAAUCUUAGUGGCGAACGGGUGAGUAACGCGUAAUCAACCUGCCCUUCAGAGGGGGACAACAGUUGGAAACGACUGCUAAUACCGCAUACGAUCCAAUCUCGGCAUCGAGACUGGAUGAAAGGUGGCCUCUAUUUAUAAGCUAUCACUGAAGGAGGGGAUUGCGUCUGAUUAGCUAGUUGGAGGGGUAACGGCCCACCAAGGCGAUGAUCAGUAGCCGGUCUGAGAGGAUGAACGGCCACAUUGGGACUGAGACACGGCCCAGACUCCUACGGGAGGCAGCAGUGGGGAAUCUUCCGCAAUGGACGAAAGUCUGACGGAGCAACGCCGCGUGAGUGAUGACGGCCUUCGGGUUGUAAAGCUCUGUUAAUCGGGACGAAUGGUUCUUGUGCAAAUAGUGCGAGGAUUUGACGGUACCGGAAUAGAAAGCCACGGCUAACUACGUGCC